AAGGAACAUGUUUCAGACCUUUGGGAGUUAGUUAGACAAAAAAAAAGAAAAAAAAAUAUUUGGGGUGUUCGGGUUUCCUGAAGGUAAUACCCGGGUAUUAGGUUAUGGGGCUAGGGUAAGGUUUAAGGUUUUUGGCGUUAGGGUUAAAAUCAGUGUCCAAAACCUUUUUAGGAACAUGUUUAAGACCUUUUGGAGUUGGUUACACCAAAAAAAAAUGUAAAAUGAAAAAAAAAAAUAUUUGGGGUGUUCGGGCUUCCUGAAGGUAAUACCCGGGUAUUAGGUUAUGGUGCUAGGGUAAGGUUUAAGGUUUUUGGCGUGAGGGUUAAAAUCACUGUCCAAAACCUUUGUAGGACCUCUUUUCCAACCUUUUGGUGUAAGUUAGACCAAAAAAAAAACGAAAAUUGAAAAACAAAUAUUUGGGGUUUUUGGGCUUCCUGAAGGUAAUACCCGGGUAUUAGGUUAUGGGGCUUUGGAAAGGUUUAAGGUUUUUGGCGUGAGGGUUAAAAUCACUGUCCAAAACCUUUGUAGGAAGUCUUUUCCAACCUUUUGGAGUUAGUUAGACCAAUAAAAAAAUGAAAAAUGAAAAAAAAAAAUUUGGGGUGUUAGGGCUUCCUGAAGGUAAUACCCGGGUAUUAGGUUAUGGGGCUAGGGUAAGGUUUAAGGUUUUUGGCGUAAGGGUUAAAAUCACUGUCCAAAACCUUUGUAGGAACUCUUUUCCAACCUUUUGGAGUUAGUUAGACCAAUAAAAAAAUGAAAAAUGAAAAAAAAAUAUUUGGGGUGUUUGGGCUUCCUGAAGGUAAUACCCGGGUAUUAGGUUUUGGGGCUAGGAUUAGGUUUAAGUUUUUUGGCGUUAGGGUUAAAAUCACUGUCCAAUAUUUUUUAAGGAACAUGUUUCAGACCUUUUGGAGUUAGUUAGACCAAAAAAAAGAAAAAAGAAAAAAAAAUAUUUGGGCUUUUCGGGCUUCCUGAAGGUAUUAGGUUUUGGGGCUAGGGAAAGGUUUAAGGUUUUUGGCGUUAGGGUUAAAAUCACUGUCCAAAACCUUUUAAGGAACAAGAUUCAGACCUUUUGGAGUUGGUUACACCAAAAAAAAUGUAAAAUGAAAAAAAAUAUAUUUGGGGUGUUCGGGCUUCCUGAAGGUAAUACCCUUCAGGUUUAAGUAUUAGGUUAUGGGGCUAGGAUUAGGUUUAAGGUUUUUGGCGUAAGGGUUAAAAUCACUGUCCAAUAUUUUUUAAGGAACAUGUUUCAGACCUUUUGGAGCUAGUUUGACCAAAAAAAAAAGAAAAAGAAAAAAUAUAUAUUUGGGGUGUUCGGGCUUCCUGAAGGUAAUACCCGGGUAUUAGGUUAUGGGGCUAGGUUAAGGUUUAAGGUUUUUGGCGUGAGGGUUAAAAUCACUGUCCAAAACCUUUGUAGGAAGUCUUUUCCAACCUUUUGGAGUUAGUUAGACAAAAAAAAAAAGAUAAAUGAAAAAAAAAAUAUUUGGGGUGUUCGGGCUUCCUGAAGGUAAUACCCGGGUAUUAGGUUAUGGGGCUAGGGUAAGGUUUAAGGUUUUUGGCGUUAGGGUUAAAAUCACUGUCCAAAACCUUUUUAGGAACAUGUUUCAGACCUUUUGGAGUUGGUUACACCAAAAAAAAUGUAAAAUGAAAAAAAUUUUUUUUUGGGUGUUCGGGCUUCCUGAAGGUAAUACUAGGUUUCUGGGCUAGGGUAAUGUUUAAGGUUUUUGGCGUUAGGGUUAAAAUCAAUGUCCAAAACCUUUGUAG